rnacentral:rRNA from 1 species
AAGGAUCAUUACCGAGUGUAGGGUUCCUAGCGAGCCAACCUCCCACCCGUGUUUACUGUACCUUAGUUGCUUCGGCGGGCCCGCCAUUCAUGGCCGCCGGGGGCUCUCAGCCCCGGGCCCGCGCCCGCCGGAGACACCACGAACUCUGUCUGAUCUAGUGAAGUCUGAGUUGAUUGUAUCGCAAUCAGUUAAAACUUUCAACAAUGGAUCUCUUGGUUCCGGCAUCGAUGAAGAACGCAGCGAAAUGCGAUAACUAGUGUGAAUUGCAGAAUUCCGUGAAUCAUCGAGUCUUUGAACGCACAUUGCGCCCCCUGGUAUUCCGGGGGGCAUGCCUGUCCGAGCGUCAUUGCUGCCCAUCAAGCACGGCUUGUGUGUUGGGUCGUCGUCCCCUCUCCGGGGGGGACGGGCCCCAAAGGCAGCGGCGGCACCGCGUCCGAUCCUCGAGCGUAUGGGGCUUUGUCACCCGCUCUGUAGGCCCGGCCGGCGCUUGCCGAACGCAAAUCAAUCUUUUUCCAGGUUGACCUCGGAUCAGGUAGGGAUACCCGCUGAACUUAAGCAUAUCAAUACGGGAG